rnacentral:lncRNA from 1 species
ACUAGAGCUACUUGGACUCACCUUAUGGGGUCCAAGAGCAAUGCCUUUCCCCUUAUCAAAGCUUUCAUUGCCAUGAUCAAAACUCAAUUCCAGGCUGUUGUGCAAACAAUUAGAAGUGACAAUGCUUUUGAACUUGGGUCUAGUGGUUAUGACAGCAGUUUCUUUGCUGAAAAUGGAAUAAUAGACCAAACCUCCCGUUCUCAUACACCACAACAAAAUGGUGUGGUUGAAAGAAAACAUAGAUAUCUGCUAGAAACCUCCAGAGCUUUACUUUUUCAUUCCCAACUACCCCUUAGAUUCUAGGGAAAUUGUAUGUUUACUGCAACCUAUCUCAUAAAUAGAUUUCCUUCCAAACUCCUUAACAAUAUAUCACCUUUUGAGUUGCUUUUUGGACAAAUUCCUUCUUAUAACCAUUUUAAAACAUUUGGUUGUCUUUGUUUUGCUAAAACAUAGAUAUCUGCUAGAAACCUCCAGAGCUUUACUUUUUCAUUCCCAACUACCCCUUAGAUUCUAGGGAAAUUGUAUGUUUACUGCAACCUAUCUCAUAAAUAGAUUUCCUUCCAAACUCCUUAACAAUAUAUCACCUUUUGAGUUGCUUUUUGGACAAAUUCCUUCUUAUAACCAUCUUAAAACAUUUGGUUGUCUUUGUUUUGCUUCAGUCCCCAAACAGAAUAGGGAUAAAUUUCAGCCCAGAGCUGAUCCUUUGUGUUUUUCUGGGAUAUCCAUUGGGUAAAAAGGGAUACAAGCUGUAAAACUUGAAGACUAAGCUUACCAUAGUCUCCAGGGAUGUGGUCUUUCAUGAAGAUGUAUUUCCCUUUGCUCCUUCAGGGAAUACCUUUCCUGUUCCUUCUCCUACUCUUAAUCCAUCCCCUGUUUAGCUUCCUCCUACUGAUGACUCCUUGCUCAAUCCUUCCUCAUCUUCUUCCACUUCUGCACCCCUUGCUUCUCCUUCUUCAUCCCCUUCUUCCCUACAUCGUUCUCCUCAUGUGCCUACUGAACCUGCUCCUAGAAGGUCCAGCAGGACAUAUGUUCCUCCUGCUCCUCUCCAACAGUAUGUCUGCAAUCUCCCUCCAUCUCUUUCUGGCUCCAGUUCUUCUUCCACUUGUCUUCAUAGUUUGGUUAACAGUGAUCUCUUCUUGGCUCCAGUUAUUCUUCCACUUGCCUUCACAGUUUGGUUAACAGUGAAGAGGUAGAGCCUACCUCUUAUCAGCAGGCUGCCUCUCUCCCUGCAUGGCAGGAGGCAAUGAUAAAGGAGUUUGCAGCCUUGGAAGCUAAUCACACUUGGUCUAUAGUUCAGC